rnacentral:rRNA from 1 species
UAAGGAAUAUUGGUCAAUGGAGGCAACUCUGAACCAGCCAUGCCGCGUGAGUGACGAAGGCCUUAGGGUUGUAAAGCUCUUUUGGCGGGGAAGAUAAUGACGGUACCCGCAGAAUAAGCUCCGGCUAACUUCGUGCCAGCAGCCGCGGUAAUACGAAGGGAGCUAGCGUUGUUCGGAAUCACUGGGCGUAAAGCGCACGUAGGUGGGCAGUUAAGUCAGGGGUGAAAGCCCGAGGCUCAACCUCGGAAUUGCCUCUGAUACUGGCUGUCUAGAGUUCGAGAGAGGUGAGUGGAAUUCCUAGUGUAGAGGUGAAAUUCGUAGAUAUUAGGAAGAACACCGGUGGCGAAGGCGGCUCACUGGCUCGAUACUGACACUGAGGUGCGAAAGCGUGUGGAGCAAACAGGAUUAGAUACCCAAGUAGUCCCUGAGCGGGCUGGCAAGGCGCAU